GAUGAACGCUGGCGGCGUGCCUAAUACAUGCAAGUCGAGCGAACAGACGAGGAGCUUGCUCCUUUGACGUUAGCGGCGGACGGGUGAGUAACACGUGGGUAACCUACCUAUAAGACUGGGAUAACUUCGGGAAACCGGAGCUAAUACCGGAUAAUAUUUCGAACCGCAUGGUUCGAUAGUGAAAGAUGGCUUUGCUAUCACUUAUAGAUGGACCUGCGCCGUAUUAGCUAGUUGGUAAGGUAACGGCUUACCAAGGCAACGAUACGUAGCCGACCUGAGAGGGUGAUCGGCCACACUGGAACUGAGACACGGUCCAGACUCCUACGGGAGGCAGCAGUAGGGAAUCUUCCGCAAUAGGCGAAAGCCUGACGGAGCAACGCCGCGUGAGUGAUGAAGGUCUUCGGAUCGUAAAACUCUGUUAUUAGGGAAGAACAAACGUGUAAGUAACUGUGCACGUCUUGACGGUACCUAAUCAGAAAGCCACGGCUAACUACGUG
rnacentral:rRNA from 1 species